ensembl:rRNA 5S_rRNA 5S ribosomal RNA
GUUUACGGCCAUACCACCCUGAGCAUGCCCGAUCUUGUCUGAUCUCGGAAGCUAAGCAGGGUCGGGCCUGGUUAAUACUUGCAUGGGAGACCGCCUGGGAAUACCUGGUACUGGAAGCU